CGUACACUCCUACGGGAGGCAACAGUGGGGAAUAUUGGACAAUGGGCGCAAGCCUGAUCCAGCCAUGCCGCGUGAGUGAUGAAGGCCCUAGGGUUGUAAAGCUCUUUCACCGGUGAAGAUAAUGACGGUAACCGGAGAAGAAGCCCCGGCUAACUUCGUGCCAGCAGCCGCGGUAAUACGAAGGGGGCUAGCGUUGUUCGGAUUUACUGGGCGUAAAGCGCACGUAGGCGGACUAUUAAGUCAGGGGUGAAAUCCCGGGGCUCAACCCCGGAACUGCCUUUGAUACUGGUAGUCUUGAGUUCGAGAGAGGUGAGUGGAAUUCCGAGUGUAGAGGUGAAAUUCGUAGAUACUCGGAGGAACACCAGUGGCGAAGGCGGCUCACUGGCUCGAUACUGAAGCUGAGGUUCGAAAGCGUGGGGAGCAAACAGGAUUAGAUACCCUUGUAGUCCCAU
rnacentral:rRNA from 1 species